rnacentral:lncRNA from 1 species
GAGGAGCUGAGCCCAAGAGAGAGGCUUCUGCAGUGGGGACAUCCAGGAGCGCCACAGCUGGGGAUCCUCACAGUUCAGCACAGAAAAAUCCAGGCACUGCUUUCCCCAGCCCGCGGCAAAGCUGCCUGAAGAAACCGGGCGGUCAUUCUCAGCUGCUGGCGCUCCCCGUGAGGAGGAAACCAUGCCUGCCGGUCGCCCCACACUGGAA